AACGAACGCUGGCGGCAGGCCUAACACAUGCAAGUCGAACGAGAUCUUCGGAUCUAGUGGCGGACGGUGAGUAACGCGUGGGAACGUGCCCUUCUCUACGGAAUAGUCCUGGGAAACUGGGUUUAAUACCGUAUACGCCCUUCGGGGGAAAGAAUUUCGGGGAGGAUCGGCCCGCGUUGGAUUAGGUAGUUGGUGGGGGUAAUGGGCCUACCAAGCCGACGAUCCAUAGCUGGUUUGAGAGGAUGAUCAGCCACACUGGGACUGAGACACGGCCCCAGACCUCCCUACGGGAGGCAGCAGUGGGGAAUCUUAGACAAUGGGGGCAACCCUGAUCUAGCCAUGCCGCGUGAGUGACGAAGGCCCUAGGGUCGUAAAGCUCUUUCGCCAGGGAUGAUAAUG
rnacentral:rRNA from 1 species